GCGAGAGCCUGAACCAGCCAAGUAGCGUGCAGGAAGACGGCCCUAUGGGGUUGUAAACUGCUUUUAUAGGGGGAAUAAAGUGAUCUACGUGUAGUUUAUUGUAUGUACCCUAUGAAUAAGGACCGGCUAAUUCCGUGCCAGCAGCCGCGGUAAUACGGAAGGUUCGGGCGUUAUCCGGAUUUAUUGGGUUUAAAGGGAGCGUAGGCCGUAGAUUAAGCGUGUUGUGAAAUGUAGAUGCUCAACAUCUGACUUGCAGCGCGAACUGGUUUACUUGAGUGUGCACAACGUAGGCGGAAUUCGUCGUGUAGCGGUGAAAUGCUUAGAUAUGACGAAGAACUCCGAUUGCGAAGGCAGCUUACGGGAGCACAACUGACGCUGAAGCUCGAAGGUGCGGAUAUCAAACAGGAUUAGAUACCCUGGUAGUCCGCACAGUAAACGAUGGAUGCCCGUUGUUAGUUCACUUAAGAAUUAGCGACCAAGCGAAAGCAUUAAGCAUCCCACCUGGGGAGUACGCCGGCAACGGUGAAACUCAAAGGAAUUGACGGGGGCCCGCACAAG
rnacentral:rRNA from 1 species